rnacentral:rRNA from 1 species
UCCAGACUCCUACGGGAGGCAGCAGUGAGGAAUAUUGGUCAAUGGGCUUACGCCUGAACCAGCCAAGUCGCGUGAGGGAAGACUGCCCUAUGGGUUGUAAACCUCUUUUGUCAGGGAGCAACGCCGGCUACGUGUAGCCGGACUGAGAGUACCUGAAGAAAAAGCAUCGGCUAACUCCGUGCCAGCAGCCGCGGUAAUACGGAGGAUGCGAGCGUUAUCCGGAUUUAUUGGGUUUAAAGGGUGCGUAGGCGGCCUUUUAAGUCAGCGUUAAAAGCCGGGGGCUCACCCCCGGCGAGCCGUUGAAACUGGCUGUCUUGAGAUGUCGAGAGGUAUGCGGAAUGCGCAGUGUAGCGGUGAAAUGCUUAGAUAUUGCGCAGAACUCCGAUUGCGAAGGCAGCAUACCGGCGGCGAUCUGACGCUGAGGCACGAAAGCGUGGGUAUCGAACAGGAUUAGAUACCCGAGUAU